rnacentral:rRNA from 1 species
AUUGAACGCUGGCGGCAGGCCUAACACAUGCAAGUCGAGCGAGUGGCGGACGGGUGAGUAAUGUAUGGGGAACUGCCUGAUGGAGGGGGAUAACUACUGGAAACGGUAGCUAAUACCGCAUACCAUCGGAUGAACCCAGAUGGGAUUAGCUAGUAGGUGGGGUAAAGGCUCACCUAGGCGACGAUCCCUAGCUGGUCUGAGAGGAUGAUCAGCCACACUGGGACUGAGACACGGCCCAGACUCCUACGGGAGGCAGCAGUGGGGAAUAUUGCACAAGGGGCGCAAGCCUGAUGCAGCCAUGCCGCGUGUAUGAAGAAGGCCUUAGGGUUGUAAAGUACUUUCAGCGGGGAGGCGUUACCCGCAGAAGAAGCACCGGCUAACUCCGUGCCAGCAGCCGCGGUAAUUC